CAGCCUACGGGGCGCAGCAGUGGGGAAUAUUGGGCAAUGGGCGCAAGCCUGACCCAGCAACGCCGCGUGAAGGAAGAAGGCUUUCGGGUUGUAAACUUCUUUUGUCAGGGACGAAGCAAGUGACGGUACCUGACGAAUAAGCCACGGCUAACUACGUGCCAGCAGCCGCGGUAAUACGUAGGUGGCAAGCGUUAUCCGGAUUUAUUGGGUGUAAAGGGCGUGUAGGCGGGAAUGCAAGUCAGAUGUGAAAACUAUGGGGUCAACCCAUAGCCUUCCUUUGGAACUGUAUUUCUUGAGGUCUGGAG
rnacentral:rRNA from 1 species